UGGAUUUCAGAGAGCAUUGAGCGGUGUGUAGCGUUAGCGGUAGAGAUAAACAUGGAGCGAAAUGUUGGGUCACUGCAAGAGCAGGCCCUGAAGAGAAAGGAGAGGCUGAAAGCACUAAGAGAUAAACAACUUCACGGGCAAGAGCAGGAAGAUGGGGAGCCAGAGAACAAAAAGGCUUCCCUAGAGGAGGCUACUGAAGAAAGGCACAGAGAGCUGAAGCUGAGGAAUUACACUCCAGAGGAUAAAGAGCUGAAGGAGAGGCAGGUGCCCAAAGCAAAACCUGUAUCAGUGGAGGAUAAAGUAAAAGACCAGUUGGAGGCAGCUAAUCCAGAGCCCAUCAUUGAAGAAGUGGAUUUGGCCAACCUCGCCCCGAGAAAACCAGACUGGGAUCUAAAGCGUGACGUUGCAAAGAAACUGGAGAAGUUGGAGAGGAGAACACAGAGAGCGAUCGCCGAGCUCAUCCGGGAUCGUCUACGAGGCAGCGAGGACGAGUUGGCCGGAGUGGUGGGAGCAGUAGGAUUGGAAGAGGGAGACUCGGACUGAAUCCCAGAUGUGACCGAUAGAAACAGGAGCCUGCAGAGGGCUUGCCUCGGUUUACUGGGUGUACCGUCACAUCUGUCUUGUUAAGAGACGGCUACUUUCAUCGCUGCAGGGAGUAAACGGACUGGGCGUCUGUUGCUGGCUGAAGGCCUCCUCCAGGCUGCUGAUGAUGCUGCUCUUGUCCCUGAGGCGCUGGCGGUAUGACGCUCGCAGGGCCUUCAUCUGGCGGCGGUGCUGGACGCGGUGCCUCUUCAGCUGGACCCGGUACUGGUCGGCCUGCUGCUGCAGCUGCUGGAAGUGGGAGUACUGCUCCAGAAAACUCAGCAAGUGGGACAUCACCGCCACCAGGGGAGACUCCGUCAACUGGGCAGUACCGCAGCACACACACACAUACAUAAGUUUAACAUAGCAGAAGCUCCUAUUUGGGGAACUGCUCAUUAAUGUAUCAGGUGAGCAGCUCAGUCAAGGUGAUGACAUAGUUUUGCUACCUUUGCUGUUUCCAGCUGAACCUGCGAGGCCCUCCUCUUCUCAGCCUCCUGCUUAAAGGACAGAAAAGCAGCCAGAGGAGUGCAUGCUGGGAUGUCCGGACCUUGUACCUCACCUUCGUCACUCAGAGACAUUUCAUCGCUGUCACUGCUACUGCCUGGAUGACAACAAAUCACAUAAACAUAAAAUCAUAAGUGAGUAAAGGGAUGUAUGUACUGAAUAAUCAAUAAGUAGAAACUAUCCCUAUAAUGAAUGUUAUAUCAUCCUUCUAUAUCAUAUCACAGCCUUUAUGUUGGACUAUAAAUAAAAGCUAUUUGAGCACUCACUGGAUUCACCAAGCCGAACACAAGCCUUUUUUCCCAUUUUGGAGGUGCGGCCAUUUUUCCUCCUGGUCCCUGUUUCCAUGGAAACAGGUCUUGGCUGCUGAACAAAGCAACAUCCAUAAGGGUCAGACGGUAAUAGGCAUAAUAUUUACACAUUGCACACAUAGAAAGGCAGAACAAUGACACCACCAAUGUCCUCGUCCUUUAAAACAGAGCCUUUUUGUCCAGUCAGGUGGUAGAUGACGCAUGCAUGUUCCCAGAAAAUUAAUGAUUUUUUUUCUGACAGAGGAACCCCAAUGAUGGACAUGACGGGGCUAGACCUACAUCUGAGGAAGAUCCCUGUGCCCCCUCCAAAGCUUCAUCCUCCUCCUCCUCCUUCUUAAAGACAGUGUAGAAGAUGUAGACUAAGAGGGAGUAGAAGGCGUACAUCUCUACACCAUCCAAGUCCCCCUGUAAAUGACAGAUUCACUAAAUAAUCACAUAUAUCUCUAGAUCUUGCAGCAGAAAAGCAGACAAAAUAUUAUAUUUCUCACCCUGAUAAUAACACUCAAGUCUUGACUAUAAUCAAAGGAUGCAUGAAUAUAAAAACUGGUCUCGACACAUCAGGACUUCUCAAGAGACUACAUUCUUUUCUAUUUUAACCGUCAUCCCACUCAAACAUGCUGAAAUAUUUCUUUUUUUGUUUUACCUUAUUACAUAUCUGUUCCUCUUUGAUGAUGACAAUCUGACCUCCAAGUCAUUUGUAUUCCCCCUUCACACUCCAUCUGUGUUUUCAAUGACAAAUCUUCCCAUGCAGCCCUUGUUCUCAGAGCUGCAACAGCAUCCCAGCGUUGUGUGUGUGUGUGACUCCCUCUCUGCCGUUCUCUCUCCUCCCCUUUCUCCUCCCCUCCACUUUGUUCCAUCUCCACUACAGGCUGCAUCUGCAGCGAGCAUGCUCAGUGCAGUCUCUUCAUCCGCUGCAGUGGAGGGGUGACGGAGUCGGUAUGGAGACUAAUUGAGCCAGGAGGGGGUUGACGCUGAUACCAGCAGCCAGAGACAGCGGUGGAUGAGAUGUGCCAGCUGCUCAUACAAAUCAUAAACUACAAUAUAAUGCACUUGCAAAUAUUGGGAUGUUUGCAAGGACUGUAAACGGUACAACAAUUGGACACUUGAACAUGAGCCAAGAGAACUUUCAAAUGCAAUGUAAAAUGACAUUACUGGAGUGAUAUUUUGAUAAACAUUUACAUCAUUUAUUAUAAUAUAUAUUUAGAGGUUAUGUCGAUGUAAUCUUCCUUGAGUGUACAUUUACAUUUUGUAUCAACCAAAAGCAAUUAAAUAAAAAUUACAUGAG